GUAUGGCAGCUCUCAUCUCUGAUGUCAUCAGGAGUGGUGGUGACAACGACCACGAUACGUGGAGGCAGAUGAUGGAGCUGGACAAGUAAGGUGUGAGAUGCCAAGAGUUCGACCAGAGGCCAAAUUCCCAUGACCGUGCGGACUCCCCACCCGCAUCGCCUCGUCUCCACGGACAGCGAUCAGGCUCCUGCAUCCACUGAGGACUUAGAAGGUCGUUCUGACCAUCCUUCAAUAUUGAUCUAAGCUGCAAUGAUCUGAAGGCCUUCCUUGAAGCUCCCAGUCUCUGCCUGGACCUCGUGUAUCAGUGCACACAGCAGGGGUAAAGUGAUAGUUAACUUACAGCCGCCGCCUCCACAGCCGACUGCGGGCUGUCUCGGCUCCUGACAGUGCCCCACGCCCGGCAGCCUCUGGUGCACGUGGGGCUCAGCAACAGCCUGCAGAACUAGUUGAAGGAAGGACUGACCUAAUCCUCAACGAAAGACUGAAGGGAUGGAAAAUAAUGA